CCAAUAGCGUAUAUUAAAGUUGUUGCAGUUAAAAAGCUCGUAGUUGAAUUUCGGGAUCAAUAUGUUGGUCGUGCCUCGGUACGUACUAGCUUAUUGGUUUCUCCUUUCUGAAGAACCAUGAUGUCAUUUAUUUGGUGUCGUGGGGAGUCAGGACUGUUACUUUGAAAAAAUUAGAGUGUUUAAAGCAGGCUCACGCUUGAAUACAUUAGCAUGGAAUAAUGAAAUAGGACGUUUGAUUCUAUUUUGUUGGUUUUUAGGAUCGACGUAAUGAUUAAUAGGGAUAGUUGGGGGCAUUAGUAUUCGAUUGUCAGAGGUGAAAUUCUUGGAUUUAUUGAAGACUAACUACUGCGAAAGCAUUUGCCAAGGAUGUUUUCAUUAAUCAAGAACGAAAGUUAGGGGACCGAAGACGAUCAGAUACCGUCGUAGUCUUAACCAUAAACUAUGCCGACUAGGGAUCGGAUGAUGUUAAUUUUUUAAUGACUCAUUCGGCGCCUUAC
rnacentral:rRNA from 1 species